rnacentral:rRNA from 1 species
AUGAACGCUAGCUACAGGCUUAACACAUGCAAGUCGAGGGGCAGCAUGAACUUAGCUUGCUAAGUUUGAUGGCGACCGGCGCACGGGUGAGUAACACGUAUCCAACCUGCCGAUGACUCGGGGAUAGCCUUUCGAAAGAAAGAUUAAUACCCGAUGGCAUAGUUCUUCCGCAUGGUGGAACUAUUAAAGAAUUUCGGUCAUCGAUGGGGAUGCGUUCCAUUAGGUUGUUGGCGGGGUAACGGCCCACCAAGCCUUCGAUGGAUAGGGGUUCUGAGAGGAAGGUCCCCCACAUUGGAACUGAGACACGGUCCAAACUCCUACGGGAGGCAGCAGUGAGGAAUAUUGGUCAAUGGACGAGAGUCUGAACCAGCCAAGUAGCGUGAAGGAUGACUGCCCUAUGGGUUGUAAACUUCUUUUAUACGGGAAUAAAGUGAGGCACGCGUGCCUUUUUGUAUGUACCGUAUGAAUAAGGAUCGGCUAACUCCGUGCCAGCAGCCGCGGUAAUACGGAGGAUCCGAGCGUUAUCCGGAUUUAUUGGGUUUAAAGGGAGCGUAGGCGGACGCUUAAGUCAGUUGUGAAAGUUUGCGGCUCAACCGUAAAAUUGCAGUUGAUACUGGGUGUCUUGAGUACAGUAGAGGCAGGCGGAAUUCGUGGUGUAGCGGUGAAAUGCUUAGAUAUCACGAAGAACUCCGAUUGCGAAGGCAGCCUGCUGGACUGUAACUGACGCUGAUGCUCGAAAGUGUGGGUAUCAAACAGGAUUAGAUACCCUGGUAGUCCACACAGUAAACGAUGAAUACUCGCUGUUUGCGAUAUACAGUGAGCGGCCAAGCGAAAGCGUUAAGUAUUCCACCUGGGGAGUACGCCGGCAACGGUGAAACUCAAAGGAAUUGACGGGGGCCCGCACAAGCGGUGGAGUAUGUGGUUUAAUUCGACGCAACGCGAAGAACCUUACCAGGGCUUGACAUAUACAUGAAAGUCUAAGAGAUUAGACCCCUCUUCGGAGCGUGUAUACAGGUGGUGCAUGGUUGUCGUCAGCUCGUGCCGUGAGGUGUCGGCUUAAGUGCCAUAACGAGCGCAACCCUUAUCGAUAGUUACCAUCAGGUUAUGCUGGGGACUCUGUCGAGACUGCCGUCGUAAGAUGUGAGGAAGGUGGGGAUGACGUCAAAUCAGCACGGCCCUUACGUCCGGGGCUACACACGUGUUACAAUGGGGGGUACAGAAGGCAGCUACACGGCGACGUGAUGCUAAUCCCGAAAGCCUCUCUCAGUUCGGAUUGGAGUCUGCAACCCGACUCCAUGAAGCUGGAUUCGCUAGUAAUCGCGCAUCAGCCACGGCGCGGUGAAUACGUUCCCGGGCCUUGUACACACCGCCCGUCAAGCCAUGAAAGCCGGGGGUACCUGAAGUGCGUAACCGCAAGGAGCGCCCUAGGGUAAAACUGGUGAUUGGGGCU